GACGAACGCUGGCGGCGUGCUUAACACAUGCAAGUCGAACGGAAAGGCCUCUUUCGGGGGGUACUCGAGUGGCGAACGGGUGAGUAACACGUGAGUAACCUGCCCUUGACUUUGGGAUAACUUCAGGAAACUGGGGCUAAUACCGGAUAGGAGCUCCUGCUGCAUGGUGGGGGUUGGAAAGUUUCGGCGGUUGGGGAUGGACUCGCGGCUUAUCAGCUUGUUGGUGGGGUAGUGGCUUACCAAGGCUUUGACGGGUAGCCGGCCUGAGAGGGUGACCGGCCACAUUGGGACUGGGAUACGGCCCAGACUCCUACGGGAGGCAGCAGUGGGGAAUAUUGCACAAUGGGUGGAAGCCUGAUGCAGCAACGCCGUGGGCGGGAGGACGGCCUUCGGGUUGUAAACCGCUUUCGCUCAUGACGAAGCUUUGUGUGACGGUAGUGGGUAAAGAAGCACCGGCUAACUACGUG
rnacentral:rRNA from 1 species